rnacentral:lncRNA from 1 species
CAAGAAGUUAGAACAAUACCUUCUGAUUUAUCUCAAAGCCCCACACUUAUGGCACCUAAUUCCCAAAGAAGGCCUCUAAAAUAUAGAAUAUGAAGGUUUAUGAUUGUCUUUUCCAUGAACACUGAUGAAUCACCCCACACGGUCCGCUGAAUACAUUAUCAUAGUUAAAUUAUAAUGCCAAGAAAAAUUACAACCCUUGGAAAUAGUUCCCUAAAUUGGCCUGAUGUUCAAAACUUCUU